UUGAUUUCACACUGCCGAGAAAAGCCUCUAGAUAGAAAAUAGGUGCCCGUACCGCAAACCGACACAGGUAGUCAAGAUGAGAAUUCUAAGGUGAGCGAGCGAACUCUCGUUAAGGAACUCGGCAAAAUGACCCCGUAACUUCGGGAGAAGGGGUGCUCUUUAGGGUUAACGCCCAGAAGAGCCGCAGUGAAUAGGCCCAAGCGACUGUUUAUCAAAAACACAGGUCUCUGCUAAACCGUAAGGUGAUGUAUAGGGGCUGACGCCUGCCCGGUGCUGGAAGGUUAAGAGGAGUGGUUAGCUUCUGCGAAGCUACGAAUCGAAGCCCCAGUAAACGGCGGCCGUAACUAUAACGGUCCUAAGGUAGCGAAAUUCCUUGUCGGGUAAGUUCCGACCCGCACGAAAGGCGUAACGAUUUGGGCACUGUCUCAACGAGAGACUCGGUGAAAUCAUAGUACCUGUGAAGAUGCAGGUUACCCGCGACAGGACGGAAAGACCCCGUGGAGCUUUACUGUAGCCUGAUAUUGAAAUUCGGCACAGCUUGUACAGGAUAGGUAGGAGCCUUUGAAACGUGAGCGCUAGCUUACGUGGAGGCGCUGGUGGGAUACUACCCUAGCU
rnacentral:rRNA from 1 species